rnacentral:pre_miRNA from 14 species
UCCUUGGGCAUCAGACAUGCACUGAAAGACCCCCAGAGCGGGGAGACCCUCACUCAAGUCUCGGGAUGAUGCGACCCCCCAAGAACUCAUGUGAGACC